rnacentral:rRNA from 1 species
UACGUAGGGAGCAAGCGUUGUCCGGAAUCAUUGGGCGUAAAGCGCGCGUAGGCGGCCCCGUAAGUCCGCUGUGAAAGUCAAAGGCUCAACCUUUGAAAGCCGGUGGAAACUGUGGGGCUAGAGUCCGGAAGAGGCGAGUGGAAUUCCUGGUGUAGCGGUGGAAUGCGCAGAUAUCAGGAAGAACACCGAUGGCGAAGGCAGUUCUCUGGGCCGUAACUGACGCUGAGGAGCGAAAGCGUGGGGAGCGAACAGG